rnacentral:rRNA from 1 species
UACAGGGGGUGCAAACGUUGCUCGGAAUCAUUGGGCGUAAAGCGCACGUAGGCGGUCUGUUAUGUCGGAUGUGAAAGCCCUUGGCUCAACUGAGGAAGUGCAUCCGAAACUGGCAGGCUAGAGUACUAAAGAGGAUCGCGGAAUUCCCGGUGUAGUGGUGAAAUGCGUAGAUAUCGGGAGGAACACCAGUGGCGAAGGCGGCUUCCUGGCCUGUUCUUGACGCUGAGGCGCGAAAGCUAGGGUAGCAAACGGG